rnacentral:misc_RNA from 1 species
AACGCACAUUGCGCCCUGUGGUAUUCCGCAGGGCAUGCCUGUUCGAGCGUCAUUUCAACCCUCAAGCUCUGCUUGGUGUUGGGCCCCGCCCCUGUGGCCGGCCCCAAAGUCAGUGGCGGCGCCGUCUGGCUCUAAGCGUAGUACAUCUCUCGCUCUAGGGUCCCACGGUAGCUGGCCAGAACCCCCCCACUCCUAUGGUUGACCUCGGAUCAGGUAGGGAUACCCGCUGAACUUAA